GACGAGCGCUGGCGGCGUGCCUAACACAUGCAAGUCGAACGAAGCAUAGCAAUAUGCUUAGUGGCGGACGGGUGAGUAACGCGUGAACAAUCUGCCCUGUACAAAGGAAUAGCCUCGGGAAACCGGGAUUAAAACCGUAUGACACUUUAGUAUCGCAUGAUAAGAAAGUCAAAUCGAAUAGAGGUAUGGGAUGAGUUCGCGUCUGAUUAGCUGGUUGGCGGGGUAACGGCCCACCAAGGCGACGAUCAGUAGCCGGCCUGAGAGGGUGAACGGCCACACUGGAACUGAGACACGGUCCAGACUCCUACGGGAGGCAGCAGUGGGGAAUAUUGCACAAUGGAGGGAACUCUGAUGCAGCGACGCCGCGUGAGUGAAGAAGGUCUUCGGAUCGUAAAACUCUGUCCUUGGUGAAGAAAAGGACGGUAGCCAAGGAGGAAGCCCCGGCUAACUACGUG
rnacentral:rRNA from 1 species